AUGGGAACGCGAAGAACCUUACCUAGACUUGACAUCUCCUGGAUAGUGUAGAGAUACAUGAAGCCCUUCGGGGCAGGAAGACAGGUGGUGCAUGGUUGUCGUCAGCUCGUGUCGUGAGAUGUUGGGUUAAGUCCCGCAACGAGCGCAACCCUUAUUACUAGUUGCUACCAUUAAGUUGAGCACUCUAGUGAGACUGCCCGGGUUAACCGGGAGGAAGGCGGGGAUGACGUCAAAUCAUCAUGCCCCUUAUGUCUAGGGCAACACACGUGCUACAAUGGUGAGUACAGAUAGAUGCGAUACCGCAAGGUGGAGCCAAACUCUAAAACUCAUCCCAGUUCGGAUUGUAGGCUGCAACUCGCCUACAUGAAGCUGGAGUUGCUAGUAAUCGCGAAUCAGAAUGUCGCGGUGAAUACGUUCCCGGGUCUUGUACACACCG
rnacentral:rRNA from 1 species